rnacentral:rRNA from 1 species
UACAGAGGGGGCAAGCGUUGUUCGGAAUUACUGGGCGUAAAGGGCGCGUAGGCGGCCGCCUAAGUCAGACGUGAAAUCCCUCGGCUCAACCGGGGAACUGCGUCUGAUACUGGAUGGCUUGAAUCCGGGAGAGGGAUGCGGAAUUCCAGGUGUAGCGGUGAAAUGCGUAGAUAUCUGGAGGAACACCGGUGGCGAAGGCGGCAUCCUAGACCGGCAUUGACGCUGAGGAGCGAAAGCCAGGGGAGCAAAACGGG